GGUCCUGAUCCUCUUGGUGAGGACGCCGCCUGCAAAGCGGCGGGCUCGGUUCGAAUCCGACUGGGCUUC
rnacentral:tRNA from 3 species